GAUGAACGCUGGCGGCGUGCCUAAUACAUGCAAGUCGAGCGAACGGACGAGAAGCUUGCUUCUCUGACGUUAGCGGCGGACGGGUGAGUAACACGUGGAUAACCUACCUAUAAGACUGGGAUAACUUCGGGAAACCGGAGCUAAUACCGGAUAAUAUUUUGAACCGCAUGGUUCAAAAGUGAAAGACGGUCUUGCUGUCACUUAUAGAUGGAUCCGCGCUGCAUUAGCUAGUUGGUAAGGUAACGGCUUACCAAGGCAACGAUGCAUAGCCGACCUGAGAGGGUGAUCGGCCACACUGGAACUGAGACACGGUCCAGACUCCUACGGGAGGCAGCAGUAGGGAAUCUUCCGCCAUGGGCGAAAGCCUGACGGAGCAACGCCGCGUGAGUGAUGAAGGUCUUCGGAUCGUAAAACUCUGUUAUUAGGGAAGAACAUAUGUGUAAGUAACUGUGCACAUCUUGACGGUACCUAAUCAGAAAGCCACGGCUAACUACGUG
rnacentral:rRNA from 1 species